AUGGUGGCACAAAAUCGGAAGCCCCGACUGUUUACUAAAAACACAACUAUCUGCAAUUAUGAAAAUAAUAGUAUAGGUAGUGAGAUUUGCCCAAUGCCAUAUUAAUAAGUAAUAAUAAUAGGUAACUGUUUCUUUACAAAAAAUUGGUUAAUAGCGGUCUUAACUAUGAGGAUCCUAAGGUAGCAAAAUAAAUUGGCCAUUAAAUGUGGUCCGGUAUCAAUAAUUUAACGAUGGCUUCACUGUCUCAACAACUUGCUCAGUGAAAUUGAAUUACCCGUGCAGAUG
rnacentral:rRNA from 1 species